GAGUUCAGACUCGUAGCAUAUAGCUCAGUAACACGUGGCCAAACUACCCUACAGACCGCGAUAACCUCGGGAAACUGAGGCCAAUAGCGGAUAUAACUCUCAUACUGGAGUGUCGAGAGUUAGAAACGUUCCGGCGCUGUAGGAUGUGGCUGCGGCCGAUUAGGUAGAUGGUGGGGUAACGGCCCACCAUGCCGAUAAUCGGUACAGGUUGUGAGAGCAAGAGCCUGGAGACGGUAUCUGAGACAAGAUACCGGGCCCUACGGGGCGCAGCAGGCGCGAAACCUUUACACUGCACGACAGUGCGAUAGGGGGACUCCGAGUGUGAGGGCAUAUAGCCCUCGCUUUUCUGUACCGUAAGGUGGUACAGGAACAAGGACUGGGCAAGACCGGUGCCAGCCGCCGCGGUAAUACCGGCAGUCCAAGUGAUGGCCGAUAUUAUUGGGCCUAAAGCGUCCGUAGCUUGCUGUGUAAGUCCAUUGGGAAAUCGACCAGCUCAACUGGUCGGCGUCCGGUGGAAACUACACAGCUUGGGGCCGAGAGACUCAACGGGUACGUCCGGGGUAGGAGUGAAAUCCUGUAAUCCUGGACGGACCACCAAUGGGGAAACCACGUUGAGAGACCGGACCCGACAGUGAGGGACGAAAGCCAGGGUCUCGAACCGGAUUAGAUACCCGGGUAGUCCUGGCUGUAAACAAUGCUCGCUAGGUAUGUCACGCGCCAUGAGCACGUGAUGUGCCGUAGGUGAAGACGAUAAGUCGAGCCG
rnacentral:rRNA from 1 species